rnacentral:rRNA from 1 species
UACGAAGGGGGCUAGCGUUGCUCGGAAUCACUGGGCGUAAAGGGUGCGUAGGCGGGUCUGUGAGUCAGGGGUGAAAUCCUGGAGCUCAACUCCAGAACUGCCUUUGAUACUGAAGAUCUUGAGUUCGGGAGAGGUGAGUGGAACUGCGAGUGUAGAGGUGAAAUUCGUAGAUAUUCGCAAGAACACCAGUGGCGAAGGCGGCUCACUGGCCCGAUACUGACGCUGAGGCACGAAAGCGUGGGGAGCAAACAGG